UGGGGAAUUUUGGGCAAUGGCCGAAAGGCUGACCCAGCGACGCCGCGUGCGGGAGGACGCCCUUCGGGGUGUAAACCGCUGUCAGGGGGGACGAAUGAAUGGGGAGAGAAUACCUCUUCAUGGUGACGGUACCCCCAAAGGAAGCGCCGGCUAACUCUGUGCCAGCAGCCGCGGUAAGACAGAGGGCGCGAGCGUUGUUCGGAAUUACUGGGCGUAAAGCGCGCGCAGGCGGAAGUGUAAGUCCGGUGUGAAAUCCCGCCGCUCAACGGCGGGGCUGCUUCGGAUACUGCACCUCUGGGGACCGGUAGAGGCUGGUAGAAUUGCUGGUGUAGCGGUGGAAUGCGUAGAGAUCAGCAAGAAUACCCGUGGCGAAGGCGGCCAGCUGGGCCGGAUCCGACGCUGAGGCGCGAAAGCGUGGGGAGCAAACAG
rnacentral:rRNA from 1 species